rnacentral:rRNA from 1 species
GAUGAACGCUAGCGGGAGGCUUAACACAUGCAAGUUGAGGGGCAGCAUAGGGUAGCAAUACCCUGAUGGCGACCGGCAGACGGGUGAGUAACGCGUAUGUAACCUACCCUGUACAGGGGGAUAACCCGGAGAAAUUCGGACUAAUAUCCCAUAGUAAUAUCCGGAGGCAUCUUUGGAUAUUUAAAGUUCCGGCGGUACGGGAUGGGCAUGCGUAACAUUAACUGGUUGGUAAGGUAACGGCCUACCAAGGCUAUGAUGUUUAGGGGUCCUGAGAGGGUGAUCCCCCACACUGGUACUGAGACACGGACCAGACUCCUACGGGAGGCAGCAGUGAGGAAUAUUGGUCAAUGGGCGCAAGCCUGAACCAGCCAUCCCGCGUGCAGGAAGACGGCCCUAUGGGUUGUAAACUGCUUUUCCAGGGAGAGAAACCUGCGCACGUGUUGCGCAAUUGACGGUACCCUGGGAAUAAGCAUCGGCUAACUCCGUG